CCUACGGGAGGCAGCAGUGGGGAAUAUUGGGCAAUGGGCGCAAGCCUGACCCAGCAACGCCGCGUGAAGGAAGAAGGCUUUCGGGUUGUAAACUUCUUUUCUGAGGGACGAAGAAAGUGACUGUACCUCAGGAAUAAGCCACGGCUAACUACGUGCCAGCCGCCGCGGUAAUACGUAGGUGGCAAGCGUUAUCCGGAUUUAUUGGGUGUAAAGGGCGUGUAGGCGGGAAAGCAAGUCAGAUGUGAAAGGUCAGGGCUCAACCCUGAGCCUGCAUUGGAAACUGUUGUUCUUGAGUGCUGGAGAGGCAAUCGGAAUUCCGUGUGUAGCGGUGAAAUGCGUAGAUAUACGGAGGAACACCAGUGGCGAAGGCGGAUUGCUGGACAGUAACUGACGCUGAGGCGCGAAAGCGUGGGGAGCAAACAGGAUUAGAUACCCUAGUAGUC
rnacentral:rRNA from 1 species